GGCGGGGUACAGCUCAGUGGUAGAGUGUGUGCCUAGUGAGCAUCAGGUCCUGGGUUCAAUCCCUAGCACCGCCA
rnacentral:tRNA from 1 species